GACGAACGCUGGCGGCGUGCUUAACACAUGCAAGUCGAACGGGCCUUGUCCCCUUUUUUUUGUGGGUGGGUUUAGUGGCGAACGGGUGAGUAACACGGGAGUAACCUGUCCCUGACUUCGGGAUAACCGCUUGAAAGGGGGGCUAAUACGGGGUGAUCUUGCCUGCUCUGAUUGGUGGGUGUGGAAAGGUUUGACUGUCUCUGGUUGUUUGGUUGGGGGUGGGGCUCGCGGCAUAUCAGAUUGCUGGUGGGGUGGUGGCCGGUGGAGGAUUGGCCGGGUAGCCGGCCUGAGAGGGUGGGCGGUCACCCUGGGACUGAGACAUGCCCCAGACUCCUGCGGGGGGCAGGAGUGGGAACUAUUGCAAAAUGGGCGAAAGCCUGAUGCAGCGACGCCGCGUGAGAGAUGGAGGCCUUCGGGUUGUGACCCUCUUUCGCCAGUGAAGAAGGUCCUGCUCUUUGUGGUGGGGUUGACGGUAGCUGGGUUAAUGAAGCGCCGGCUAACUACGUG
rnacentral:rRNA from 1 species